UUCUUUUUUCUUUCUUUCCUUCCCUUUCUUUUCUAUUUCUUUUCUUCUCUUUCCUCCUUACCUAUCAACAGUUUAUAAAAUCCUCCAUUAUCACUAAAUCAAAUCCACUUAAAAAUAGAAAAUCAAAUCAAACUUCACUUUUUCACCUCACUUUUCAAUCUCAAGCCCGCCAUAAUUACAUCUUCAUGUAACCAAAGGUUGUGUAGCCUUGGUUCUAGGAUAGAACACCCCAGAUUCCUGCACAUGAAAAAGGGAAUGUGACGAAAGGAAAAGCUAUUAAUAAUGCGAUGGUAUCAUCCAUUUUUUGAUAUGCAAAUUUAGUUCAAUUAACAUAAUAUUCACUAUGCGACCAGGCAAGAGAUGAGAAAAUGCAUGGCAAUCGAAGUGUGGAACUAGAAACAAGCAAGCUAACAAUAUAUGGCAUUCAUGUACAGCCAGAAUUCUUUUCUUUUCAAAUCUUUUCAAAUGACACUUAACAUGAAACCAAUCCAGCUAUAUGAGUUAGCUUUUAAGGUGGUGAUUGUGUGGUUGCAACUCAGUCCAUCCCUAUCGUUGCUCAGCCAGUUCCUACCGUCAUCGAAGCAACAACGUUGCAGCAGCAAUAACCACAGCAUAAUCUCAUCUUUUCCAGUUCUUUAACAGCACUGUAAUCUCUACAAAUGGUUUUGUUAGAUCAAAUAUAUGAAAUUAAGUGAUUUUUAUUUUGGGUGUUUUGUCAGCUCAGUGAUGGUUGCAGUAGUGACGGGGGACGAUUAUGGUGGCGGGAUGGGCGGUGGUGAGAGAGGAUGUAAAUUAUUUAUUUUAUAUUAACCAAUAAUUUAUUGACA